CAGCAGCCGCGGUAAUACGCAGGGGGCUAGCGUUGCUCGGAAUUACUGGGCGUAAAGGGAGCGUAGGCGGGUCGUUUAGUCAGAGGUGAAAUCCCGGGGCUCAACCUCGGAACUGCCUUUGAUACUGGCGACCUUGAGUAUGGGAGAGGUAAGCGGAACUCCGAGUGUAGAGGUGAAAUUCGUAGAUAUUCGGGAGAACACCAGUGGCGAAGGCGGCUUACUGGCCCAUUACUGACGCUGAGGCUCGAAAGCGUGGGGAGCAAACAGGAUUAGAUACCCGCGUAGUCCCUGUCUCUUAUAC
rnacentral:rRNA from 1 species